UACGUAGGUGGCAAGCGUUGUCCGGAAUGAUUGGGCGUAAAGCGCCCGCAGGCGGCAUCUUAAGUCUGAUGUGAAAGCCCCCGGCUCAACCGGGGAGGGCCAUUGGAAACUGAGAGGCUUGAGUAUAGGAGGGAAGGGUGGAAUUCCACGUGUAGCGGUGAAAUGCGUAGAGAUGGGGAGGAACACCGGUGGCGAAGGCGACUCUCUGGUCUGUAACUGACGCUGAGGCGCGAAAGCGUGGGGAUCAAACAGG
rnacentral:misc_RNA from 1 species